UACGUAGGGUGCGAGCGUUAAUCGGAAUUACUGGGCGUAAAGCGCACGCAGGCGGUCUGCUAAGUUUGGAGUGACAGUUGGUGGGCUUAACUGCCAAAGUGCUUUCGAAAACUGACAGACUUGAGGGCUUCAGAGGGACACGGAAUUCCGGGUGGAGUGGUGAAAUGCGUAGAGAAUCCGGAGGAACAGCCAAAGGCGAAGGCAGAUGUCCUGGGGAGUACCUGACGCUCAGGUGCGAAAGCCAGGGGAGCGAACGGG
rnacentral:rRNA from 1 species